rnacentral:sRNA from 2 species
UUCCAGUUUACGCUUAAUCUCCAUUCGGAGAGCGGGGGAACCAUGUACGGUUUUUCGAUACCGUAUUUUGAAUUCUUCAGGGGUGAAUUUCGAAGCCAUUGCCAUGAGCAUUGUGUAACGAAUAGGGCGACUCUCUUGUCCGAAUCCGUCAGCUAACCUCGCAAGCGUUAUAGAGAGUGAUC